rnacentral:lncRNA from 1 species
UUCCUGUUGACUGGCUUUCUGCAGCGUCUCCGCCUCCCUUCCUCUCCCUAGAAGGGAAUCUACUGUGCAGCAGGCCCGGGAAAUCUGCAGUGGGUGUCCCCCCUGCCACACUACACACUCCGCUUCUUUCUGCUCCUCCCUCCUGGCUGCCAUAGAAACCAGCCUGCCAGGUCCAGGCCCGCGUCGCGCCGCGGUGGCCAUCCAGGCUCCUUCCCCGGCUCCCCAGAGCCAGCCCCCCGCUCGGGAUUGGUCCUGUUCAGGACGCUGAGGGACACUAGGCUCUGGUGGCGGAGCCAGAAGCAGACAGACAGCGGGGUUUGCCACGGCCCUGUGGGUCAGAUCUGCUGCUCAUCACAGCUCACAGAGGCUGUGCGACCCAGAUGUCUGCGCCCCGGGACACCCACGAGCCUGCUCCAGUGCCUGCCACUCGGCGCGCCUAGCCUGGCCGCACAGCGAGCUCCCCAGGCGGCCUCCCGACUGAGGAUUGAAGAAUCUUCAUUCAUUGUCGGAUUUCCUAGAAUUUGUUAUAAGUCUCAGAAGAAAAUAUUAAAGUCCCUUAUAACUCUACAGCUGAAAUGAAGGCUAUUAUAGUUCUUAAAUGACUUUGAGUAGCUUCAAGGUUAACUCAGCUGCUGCAAUACAGAAUAUUGACCAGUUGUACAAGGGGGUAAGUUGCAGUCGAAAGACAAGUGAUUUCAGUUAGCCACCUGGAAAAUGAAAACAAAAAUAUAAGUCACUUGGUAGGGCUUACAAAAGUGAUUAUCAGUCAAGAGUUAAAGACAAUUAGGGUGGGAAGGAAGAUGAAGUGGGGUGCUGGAAGGGUUUAGGACAGGGAAGAGAACAGCUGUCAGGGAAGU